rnacentral:rRNA from 1 species
UACGUAGGGUGCAAGCGUUGUCCGGAAUUAUUGGGCGUAAAGAGCUCGUAGGUAGCUUGUCACGUCGGGUGUGAAAGCUUGGGGCUUAACUCCAGGUCUGCAUUCGAUACGGGCUGGCUAGAGGUAGGUAGGGGAGAACGGAAUUCCUGGUGUAGCGGUGAAAUGCGCAGAUAUCAGGAGGAACACCGGUGGCGAAGGCGGUUCUCUGGGCCUUACCUGACGCUGAGGAGCGAAAGCGUGGGGAGCGAACAGG